UGGGGAAUAUUGGACAAUGGGCGCAAGCCUGAUCCAGCCAUGCCGCGUGUGUGAAGAAGGCCUUUUGGUUGUAAAGCACUUUAAGCGAGGAGGAGGCUACUUGGAUUAAUACUCUAGGAUAGUGGACGUUACUCGCAGAAUAAGCACCGGCUAACUCUGUGCCAGCAGCCGCGGUAAUACAGAGGGUGCGAGCGUUAAUCGGAUUUACUGGGCGUGAAGCGUGCGUAGGCGGCUUUUUAAGUCGGAUGUGAAAUCCAUGAGCUUAACUUAGGAAUUGCAUUCGAUACUGGGAAGCUAGAGUAUGGGAGAGGAUGGUAGAAUUCCAGGUGUAGCGGUGAAAUGCGUAGAGAUCUGGAGGGAUACCGAUGGGGAAGGCAGCCAUCUGGCCUAAUACUGACGCUGAGGUACGAAAGCAUGGGGAGCAAACAGG
rnacentral:rRNA from 1 species